GGAAUAUUGGACAAUGGGCGAAAGCCUGAUCCAGCCAUGCCGCGUGUGUGAAGAAGGUCUUCGGAUUGUAAAGCACUUUAAGUUGGGAGGAAGGGCAGUAAGCGAAUACCUUGCUGUUUUGACGUUACCGACAGAAUAAGCACCGGCUAACUCUGUGCCAGCAGCCGCGGUAAUACAGAGGGUGCAAGCGUUAAUCGGAAUUACUGGGCGUAAAGCGCGCGUAGGUGGUUUGUUAAGUUGGAUGUGAAAUCCCCGGGCUCAACCUGGGAACUGCAUUCAAAACUGACAAGCUAGAGUAUGGUAGAGGGUGGUGGAAUUUCCUGUGUAGCGGUGAAAUGCGUAGAUAUAGGAAGGAACACCAGUGGCGAAGGCGACCACCUGGACUGAUACUGACACUGAGGUGCGAAAGCGUGGGGAGCAAACAGGAUUAGAUACCCCAG
rnacentral:rRNA from 1 species